AUUAAAUCUACUACCUGAUUUUCUUAGCUUUGCCUUUAAUUUCAUCUCCUCUGCUUUUCUUUCUCGGGGAAAUGGCAAUUUGGGACCCAUUACUUGACAAUCAAUAUUCUUUUCAUGGAUCCUCGAAAUAAGCCACCAUCAUUGUUUGUAAAAGUUGCCACUAGUGGUUUUGUAAAUUGCAAUAUAUCCUUGUAACAUUGGAAUGUUAGGUUGUAACUGAGGAACCUGCGUGGUGACUUUAAGAGCCGUUGUUGUUAACUUAUUUUUAUUCUCAUUUGGAGAAAUUGAGCCUGAUGAGUUUUAGCUAUUACUCUUUUUUUUUUUUUGGGGGGGGGGGGGCGCUAAUGGGUAAAGCUAUAUGAGUUAUGAGUUCUUAAUUUUCAUUUUCCCUCAUUGCUUUCCUCUGAUUGUGAUAGCAGUGGAUGUCGACAAGGGCUCUUUAUAAAAUAGAAAGUUUAGGAUAGUCAAUAAUUGAAUAGCUAGAAUUAGUUUCAUCCCCUGUAGUUCAUGAAGGGGAAGUUGAAUGCAACGAUAACAGUGGAAUUGCAAUAGAAAUGAUUCUUUCUCACCCCCCCCACAGGGAGGGAAAAAAGACUCUCCUAGCAUCAAUCUAAUAAUAUAAGAGUGAUGGAACUCUUAAAAAAACCUCUAUAUCAUCUCUAUAUAUAUAUAUAAGUAGAAUUGCAAGCUUAGGUCUGGUGAUGUCACGUGUCAUUGAUGUUUUUAUGUUUUAUUAUUUAUUAUUUAAAAUAUAAAUAAAAUCACCUCACCCUCACAUCUCUUUAUUAUCUCUCAAGUUCCUAUUAACUUAUUUGUAAUUCAUAUUUAUAAUUAAAAAAUCUUGUUAACUUAUUUACAAUUCAAAUCUAUAAUUAAGAAAUACCAUAAGCUUAAAUCUGGUGAUGCCACAUGUCAUUGAUAUUUAUACAUUUUAUUAUUCAUUAUUUAAAAUAUAAAUAAAACUACCUCAUUCCCGCAUCUCUCUAUUAUCUCCCAACUUCCUAUUAAGUUAUUUGUAAUUAAAAAAGCACCACAAACUUGAAUAUAGGGAUGCCACAUGUCAUUAAUGUUUAUAUAUUGUAUUAUUCAUGAUUUAAAAUAGAAAUAAAAGUAAUUCACUCGCACGUCUCUCCAUUAUUUCCCAACUUCCUAUUAAUUUAUUUAUAAUU